GACGAACGCUGGCGGCGUGCUUAACACAUGCAAGUCGAACGAGAGGAGAAGGAAGCUUGCUUCUUUCGAAUCUAGUGGCAAACGGGUGAGUAACACGUAAACAACCUGCCUUCAGGAUGGGGACAACAGACGGAAACGACUGCUAAUACCGAAUACGUUCCUUAGGUCGCAUGACUUUAGGAAGAAAGGGUGGCCUCUACUUGUAAGCUAUCGCCUGAAGAGGGGUUUGCGUCUGAUUAGGUAGUUGGUGAGGUAACGGCCCACCAAGCCGACGAUCAGUAGCCGACCUGAGAGGGUGAUCGGCCACAUUGGGACUGAGACACGGCCCAGACUCCUACGGGAGGCAGCAGUGGGGAAUAUUGCACAAUGGGGGAAACCCUGAUGCAGCAACGCCGCGUGAGUGAUGACGGCCUUCGGGUUGUAAAGCUCUGUCUUCAGGGACGAUAAUGACGGUACCUGAGGAGGAAGCCACGGCUAACUACGUG
rnacentral:rRNA from 1 species